ACCUGGCUGGCUCAGUGGGUAGAGCAUGCGACUCUUAAUCUCAGGGUUGUGAGUUCGAGCCCCACAAUGGGUG
rnacentral:tRNA from 1 species